rnacentral:lncRNA from 1 species
AUGUUUUGUCUACAGUAUUACUUUGAUGCCUCUGGGCUUUGCUUUAAUAUGCUUUGCUUUAUGUGUCCAACAUUUUAUCUUGUUUUCACAGAGUCCUUAAACAUUCCCCAUAUUCAAUUGAUCGACUUAAGGAAAAUCACACUGUGGUUUCUCUUCCAUGCCAAUGUCCAUGAGAGGAACAGCUCGCAGCCAGGGUUUAGAUGUGGUUAACACCUCCGAUACUUACUAUUCUGACCUACAGUGUGGUUUCUCUUGGUGUGUAACUGAUUGAAUUGGGGCCUGUGACUCUUGGCCAGACUGGCUUUACAACAACAUGAGAAAUAAUAAGAGCUACGUGUAUGGCAGCUAAAACAAUGAUUAAGAGGUGUAUGUAAGAAAUCUCGGACAACUUUCAUCUUGAUUGAAUACAACUGGUCAAUUACAGGGAACAUCACCAGGAGACAAUCUCCUUGUUUUGGUUUGAAAGGCAUCUCAAGAAGUCAGCACUAGUAUUUCAUCCUCUGAUUUGAAACUGACAAAAUGUUGAGUUUUGAAGAUGGAAAAUAGCUGAAACUUGGAGAAGCUGGAAAUUAAACUGUGAAAUCCUUUCUUUGUAACACUUAUUGCAAUUGAUCCAACAGCUACACUUUGAGUGCUUGUUUUCUGUGCUGACCGGGUCUCAUUCCCGUGAUGUAAAAGAAGAUAGGUCAAAUUUAAAUAGCCAAUCCAGUGAGCAAAAUCGGUUGAAUAGACGUGGAAAAUAUGUCUCUUUGGAUGAAGAUGUUGAAAGUACAUCUUUUGGGUUGAAAAUAUGCUGAAAAUACAUAUUUUUGGUUGAAAAUAUAUUACAAACACAUUUUUGGGGAUGAAAAUAUCUUGAAAGGUGUCCUUUUGGUUGAAAAUAAAUGUAAAGACAGUUUUCGACCAGUUCUGCUCACUGGGAAAAUAUCAGACAUACUCGAACCAACCAGCAAACAACCUACUCCUCUCCUCUGCUACUGCAGUAUUGCUUUAAGUUGUGAGUUUUUGCAUCCAAAUAAAAGUCGAUUUUCAUGAAUCUGUGUUGUCAUUUCUCUAAGAAUUCUUUGUCUGACU